GUGUGCCUGGCUCCCUGCAUGCCAUUUGCAUAGCUCAUCAGAACGUCGGUGGCCUUGGUGGAUGGCGUGCAACGAGUCAUGCAUGC
rfam:Populus trichocarpa scaffold_16_contig_75, whole genome shotgun sequence.